rnacentral:pre_miRNA from 1 species
GAGCUCCUUGAAGUCCAAUAGAGGAUUUUGCAGGGUUGAUUGAGCUGCCGAGCUAUGGAUUCCACAGCCCUACCCGAAGUUAUACUUUUUCUGGGUAGGCUUGCGGUUUGCAUAUCUCAGGAGCUGCAUUACCCUAAGCUUAAUCCUUGUUUGGAUUGAAGGGAGCUCUAG